GGCUUGGAAGGUUAAACCAUUAAGUUGCAAACUUAAUAAAGCGUAAGCCUAAGCUA
rnacentral:tRNA from 1 species